CACGUAGGUGGCAAGCGUUGUCCGGAUUUAUUGGGUUUAAAGGGUGCGUAGGCGGCCUUAUAAGUCAGUGCUGAAAUAUCCCGGCUUAACCGGGAGGGUGGCAUUGAUACUGUAGGGCUUGAGUGUAGUCGAGGUAGGCGGAAUUGACGGUGUAGCGGUGAAAUGCUUAGAUAUCGUCAAGAACACCGAUAGUGUAGACAGCUUACUAGGCUACAACUGACGCUGAGGCACGAAAGUGUGGG
rnacentral:rRNA from 1 species